rnacentral:rRNA from 1 species
UACGGAAGGGGCAAGCGUUGUUCGGAAUCAUUGGGCGUAAAGGGCGCGUAGGUGGUUCUGUAUGUUUACCGUGAAAGCGUACGGCUCAACCGUAUUUUGUCGGUAGAAACUGCAGGACUUGAGGCUGGGAGGGGCUGGUGGAAUUCCCUGUGUAGCGGUGAAAUGCGUAGAGAUGGGGGAGAACACUCGUGGCGAAGGCGGCCAGCUAGACCAGUUCUGACACUGAGGCGCGAAAGCGUGGGGAGCAAACGGGG